GAUCUGUUAGCUCAAAAUGGUAGAGCGAUCAGAGUAUUUUGUUGAUUGAUUUGACAAUAUAUGCUCUGGUAGGAUGGUGGUUCGAAUCCACCCAGAUCU
rfam:Glycine max cultivar Williams 82 chromosome 11, whole genome shotgun sequence.